CCCCUAGAUGUUCUGGGCCGCACGCGCGCUACACUGAACAGUUCAACAAGUCUUAACCUUGGCCGAUAGGUCUGGGUAAUCUUUGAACGCUGUUCGUGAUUGGGAUGGACCUUUGCAAUUAUGGGUCUUCAACGAGGAAUUCCUAGUAAACGCAAGUCAUCAGCUUGCAUUGAUUACGUCCCUGCCCUUUGUACACACCGCCCGUCGCACCUACCGAUUGAAUGGUCCGGUGAAAUCUCGGGACGGCGGCUUGGUCGCUUGCGUCCGACUGCUGAAACUUGAUUAAACCAUAUCAUUUAGAGGAAGGUGAAGUCGUAACA
rnacentral:rRNA from 1 species